rnacentral:rRNA from 1 species
UCCCGUUGACCCUGCGGGAGAUAGCUGCUAUGUGAAUUCGAUUUAGCCAUGCAAGUCAGGGGCCGCAAGGCACCGGCGAUAGGCUCAGUAACACGUCGAUAAUCUGCCCUACAGUCAGUGAAAGCUACGCGAAAGUGUGGGUAAACACCGAUAGGCGAAGAACGCUGCAACGCGUCAUCGCCGAAAUUCGUGCUGUAGGAUGAGUCGGCGGCUGAUUAGGUAGUUGGCGGGGUAAUGGCCCACCAAGCCUUGGAUCAGUACGGGCCAUGAAAGUGGUAGCCCGGAGAGGGACACUGAGAUACUGGUCCCAGCCCUACGGGGUGCAGCAGGCGCGGAAACUCUCCAAUGUGCGAAAGCGUGAGAGGGGAAUUCACAGUGCUUACGGUUUAGCCGUAGGCUUUUGCCAUGUGUAAAUAGCAUGGCGAAUAAGUGGUGGGUAAGACUGGUGCCAGCCGCCGCGGUAACACCAGCGCCACGAGUGGCUAUCGCGAUUAUUGGGCCUAAAGCGUCCGUAGUCGGUUCUGUACAUCCUCUGUGAAAUCGCAGCGCUCAACGUUGCGGCAUGCGGGGGACACGGCAGAGCUUGAGACCGGGAGGCGUGUAGGGUAUUCCACGGGGACCGGUAAAAUGGUAUAAUCCGUGGAGGACCACCUGUGGCGAAGGCGCUACACGAGAACGGAUCUGACGAUGAGGGACGAAAGCCAGGGGAGCAAACCGGAUUAGAUACCCGAGUAGUCCUGGCCGUAAACGCUGUCUGCUAGGUGUUGCACCGACUUGAGUCGUUGCAGUAUCGGAGCGAAGGUAUUAAGCAGACCGCCUGGGAAGUACGGUCGCAAGACUGAAACUUUAAGGGAUUGGCGGGGGAGCACCACAAGGGGUGCGGCGUGCGGUUUAAUUUAACGCAACGCAGAGCAUCUCACUAGAGGCGAGGGCAGGAAGAAGAUCAGUCUGAAGGGCUUAUCUGACGAGCCGAGAGGUAGUGCAUGGCCGCCGUCAGCUCGUGCCGUAAGGUGUCCAGCUAAGCCUGGUAACGAGCGAGACCUGCGUCUAUACUUGCUAACGCGUGAAUUUCAUGAGCGAGCUCUGUAUAGAGACUGCCUGUGUAAACAGGAGGAAGGCGCAGGCUACGGUAGGUCUGUAUGCUCCGAAUCUUCUAGGCUACACGCGCGCAACAAUGGAUGUGACAAUGGGCUGCAACACCGAAAGGUGAAGCCAAACCUCGAAACACAUUCUUAGUCCAGAUCGUGGCUUGUAACUCAGCCACGUGACGUCGGAAUCCCUAGUAAUCAGGUUUUAUCAUAGCCUGGUGAAUAUGUCCCUGCUCCUUGCACACACCGCCCGUCAAACCAGCCGAGCAGGGUUUUGGUAAACGUUCGCUUGAUUGGCAAACGUGAAUCAAAGCUCAGUUAGGUGGGUUAAGUCGGCACAAGGUAGCCGUAGGGGAACCUGCGGCUG